rnacentral:rRNA from 1 species
GUGGGGAAUUUUGCGCAAUGGGGGAAACCCUGACGCAGCAACGCCGCGUGAGUGAUGAAGGCCUUCGGGUCGUAAAGCUCUUUUAGUGGGGAAGAAUCCCACCCGGGCUAAUACCUCGGGUGUCUGACGGUACCCACAGAAAAAGUUCCGGCUAACUACGUGCCAGCAGCCGCGGUAAUACGUAGGGAGCAAGCGUUGUUCGGAAUUAUUGGGCGUAAAGAGCGCGUAGGCGGUUCGGUAAGUCUGACGUGAAAUCCCAGAGCUUAACUCUGGAACUGCGUUGGAUACUGCCGAGCUUGAGUGUGGGAGAGGAGAGUGGAAUUCCCAGUGUAGAGGUGAAAUUCGUAGAUAUUGGGAGGAACACCCGUGGCGAAGGCGGCUCUCUGGACCACAACUGACGCUGAGGCGCGAAAGCUAGGGUAGCAAACGGGAUUAGAAACCCCAGUAGUCC